rnacentral:rRNA from 1 species
ACAAUGGAGAGUUUGAUCCUGGCUCAGGAUGAACGCUAGCGGGAGGCCUAACACAUGCAAGCCGAGCGGUAGAGAUUCUUCGGGAUCUUGAGAGCGGCGUACGGGUGCGGAACACGUGUGCAACCUGCCUUUAUCAAGGGGAUAGCCUUUCGAAAGGAAGAUUAAUACCCUAUAAUAUAUUGACUGGCAUCAGUUAAUAUUGAAAACUACGGUGGAUAAAGAUGGGCACGCGCAAGAUUAGCUAGUUGGUGAGGUAACGGCUCACCAAGGCGACGAUCUUUAGGGGGCCUGAGAGGGUGAUCCCCCACACUGGUACUGAGACA